CAUUUUUGGGGGCACUUCCAGCCACUGUUCGUUUUCCAUUUGGAAAUGGGUGGGAAAUUGAGCAAAAUUGGGGCUGAAAUGGGGACGACCCACCCGGGGUGAAACACCGCCUUCUGAAGCCAUCGCCCCGAGUCCGUUCAGAUCUCCAAUUUGGGUGAAAAACAGCACAAAUACCUAUUUUCUCCCUUUCCUACACGUUUUUUGGGAGGUUUUGCUGCCGGGUUCUCUCUGCCUUUUCGUGUCGAGCGUCCACGCUGCCUCGGUUUUGGGAUAAUUUCCUGCGGUUUUGGUGCUUUCACUGAUCUGUGCGAAGAUCCCUUGCUGCCAACACCCUUUUUUUUUUUUUUUUUUUUUUUUUUUUUUUUCCUUUUUUUUCCUCUAAAUUUCUCCUCCCUGCCUCGUCGCCGCCUUCGCUCUUCCACUCCCGGCUCCAAAAAAAAUCCCAAAUCUUCCUAAAACGCCCCCAAAAAAACCAGCUCCUCCGGGAAACCGAAACUCCUCUCCUCCUGC
rnacentral:lncRNA from 1 species